rnacentral:rRNA from 1 species
GCUUGCUCUUGUGGAUCAGUGGCGAACGGGUGAGUAACACGUGAGCAACCUGCCCCGGACUCUGGGAUAAGCGCUGGAAACGGCGUCUAAUACUGGAUAUGAGACGUGACCGCAUGGUCAACGUUUGGAAAGAUUUUUCGGUCUGGGAUGGGCUCGCGGCCUAUCAGCUUGUUGGUGAGGUAAUGGCUCACCAAGGCGUCGACGGGUAGCCGGCCUGAGAGGGUGACCGGCCACACUGGGACUGAGACACGGCCCAGACUCCUACGGGAGGCAGCAGUGGGGAAUAUUGCACAAUGGGCGAAAGCCUGAUGCAGCAACGCCGCGUGAGGGAUGACGGCCUUCGGGUUGUAAACCUCUUUUAGCAGGGAAGAAGCGAGAGUGACGGUACCUGCAGAAAAAGCGCCGGCUAACUACGUGCCAGCAGCCGCGGUAAUACGUAGGGCGCAAGCGUUAUCCGGAAUUAUUGGGCGUAAAGAGCUCGUAGGCGGUCUGUCGCGUCUGCUGUGAAAUCUGGAGGCUCAACCUCCAGCCUGCAGUGGGUACGGGCAGACUAGAGUGCGGUAGGGGAGAUUGGAAUUCCUGGUGUAGCGGUGGAAUGCGCAGAUAUCACGAGGAACACCGAUGGCGAAAGCAGAUCUCUGGGCCGUAACUGACGCUAAGAACGGAAUGGUGCGAGCAAACAGGCUU